GCGAUGCGGCGGGGACUGGGCGCGGGGGGAGGCGCGUCGCGAGGCGAGCGUCCUCCUUUUGUGCGAGCGCCGGCGGCUCGGCUUCUCGAAGGAGAAGAAACUGAGGCCUGGAAUUUGAUUAAUUCUUUCAAGGUUACCCAGUUGAUAGAAGGACAAGGACAGAAUCACCAGCACUGGCUGAAGGUACCUUAACAUGGGGAAUCUUCUUAAAGUUUUGACAUGCACAGACCUUGAGCAGGGGCCAAAUUUUUUCCUUGAUUUUGAAAAUGCCCAGCCUACAGAGUCUGAGAAGGAAAUUUAUAAUCAGGUGAAUGUAGUAUUAAAAGAUGCAGAAGGCAUCUUGGAGGACUUGCAAUCAUACAGAGGAGCUGGCCACGAAAUACGAGAGGCAAUCCAGCAUCCAGCAGAUGAGAAGUUGCAAGAGAAGGCAUGGGGUGCAGUUGUUCCACUAGUAGGCAAAUUAAAGAAAUUUUACGAAUUUUCUCAGAGGUUAGAAGCAGCAUUAAGAGGUCUUCUGGGAGCCUUAACAAGUACCCCAUAUUCUCCCACCCAGCAUCUAGAGCGAGAGCAGGCUCUUGCUAAACAGUUUGCAGAAAUUCUUCAUUUCACACUCCGAUUUGAUGAACUCAAGAUGACAAAUCCUGCCAUACAGAAUGAUUUCAGCUAUUAUAGAAGAACAUUGAGUCGUAUGAGGAUUAACAAUGUACCGGCAGAAGGAGAAAAUGAAGUAAAUAAUGAAUUGGCAAAUCGAAUGUCUUUGUUUUAUGCUGAGGCAACUCCAAUGCUGAAAACCUUGAGUGAUGCCACAACAAAAUUUGUAUCAGAGGUAAGCAUUGCCUAGGCAGGUACUCUGUGUUGUUAUUUAUCCCCCUGUUGCAGAUGUGAUCUCAGCAAGCCCAAGACAUUAAAUACCAUCUUGAAACCAACAGACUCCCAGAUGUAUGUGUUGAGUCCUGACUUUUUUCUGAGGCCCGCGUGUGCACACCUGUCCACGUAUUUGCAGUUUCUCUGGAGGGGAUGGUGGACACCUCAGUGAUAGCUGAUGGCACGGCCAAACCAAACUCUGGGUUGCCUUUUCCAACCCUGCCCUUUCUUUAGUUUUUGCUUUCUCAAUUAAUAGUACCAGUGCAGGCAAAAACUUACAACUUAUGUCAUCCUAAAUUCCUUUCUUUUUUUUUUUUUUUUUGAGACAGAGUUUCACUCUUGUUGCCCAGGCUGGAGUGCAAUGGCGCGAUCUCAGCUCACCACAACCUCCGCCUCCCGGGUUCAAGCGAUUCUCCUGCCUCAGCCUCGUUAGUAGCUGGGGUUACAGGCAUGUGCCACCACGCCUGGCUAAUUUUGUAUUUUUAGUAGAGACGGGGUUUCUCCAUGUUGGUCGGGGUGGUCUCGAACUCCCAACCUCAGGUGAUCCGCCUGCCUCAGCCUCCCAAAGUGCUGGGAUUAUAGGCAUGAGCCACCGCGCCUGGCCAUCAUCCUAAAUUCCUUUCUAUACCUCGCUCCCUACAUGUAUUCCAUCAAACAGUCUCAUUGGCUUUCCCUCCAAAAUACUAAUAUAUCAUGAAUCUGAAAACUUAAGUUACUUUCUUGCCACCAGCCACAUCAGACUUCUCAUCUGGAUUACUGCAUUCAUGUCCUGACCAUUCUUCCUCCACUCUUGCCCCAAUAUAGUCGUUUCUCCAUAGAGCAACCAAGUAAUCUUAAAACAUAAACCAUGUUCCCUCCCUCCUCCAUGUAAAAUGUUCCCAGUGACUUCCUAGUACCCUUAGGAUAAAAUCCAACUAUUGCAUAGCCUAUAAAACUCUACACCUUUGACCCCCUGUCUGCAUUGUUGCAGUUGUUCUUACAUUGCUGGAAUGCAGGUGCCUUUCAGAAGAGUACUGCCUUCGCUAUCUUGCUCAUAGCUGUAUCCCCAGUGCUUGGAACAGCUGCUUAGAGUCUAGUGCAUUAUUUAGAAAAUUAGGAGUAGGAACCAGGUUUUAAAGUUGCUAAUUUUUCAUAUUACGCUAAAUUUUAAAUUGUGCUUAAGUAAUAAUGUUUGUUACUUUUACUUUUUUUGUUCUUCAUAUACUUCUACAGAAUAAAAAUUUACCAAUAGAAAAUACCACAGAUUGUUUAAGCACCAUGGCUAGUGUAUGCAGAGUCAUGCUGGAAACACCGUGAGUAUCAGCUAAUCUUUUUCACUUUAACAGUGCUGUUGAGAUGACUGAUAUUUCAAAACAUGUUCAUAUAUGAACAUGUUUUAUCUGGAAGGUGGAAAGUAAGUAUAUUCCAAAUAUUGAAUGUUAAUAUAUGAACAAACAAAAUAAUUUGGCUAUUUAAUGUAACUUCUGGUUAAGUAUAAAAUAGAGUUAGUUGGUCUUCAGGUACCUCAGACCAGUCAGACUGACUCAGACUCUUAGUUGUCUUCUCAGAACAGAAAUGUGGUGGUGGUUUUUUGGUGACUGGGAUGUAGGAGAAGAACUUUAAAGCUCCUUGGUUAUACUUAACCAUAAAUGUUCUUUUUCCAUAUUUAGUAAAGAAUCUUACCCUUUUGCCAAAGGGCUGGAAUUAUUCUUCUGUUUAUCCCUUUUUCUCUCAAUUAUUAAUUGUCACUCUUUUUUUAUUUUUUCCAACAUGAACCUGAAUUCUCUUUUUUUUUUCCUCUCCUCUCUAAAGCAUAUAUGAUGUAUGAUACAGUGUGUCCUGGCUGGAUUUUUCCUGUUAGCAGGCAGAAAGAAUCCCUCCUGGAUUCCAGAAUAAUAAAUACAGUCAUGUGCUGCUUAAUGACGUUUUGGUCAACAAUGGGCCACAUAUAUGAUGGUCCAAAGCACUAUACUGUACAUCAUCUCAUUGGAAAACCUUAUGAAAUAGGAGGGCAACUAUCAUCAUAAUCCUCUUCCUUCCCCCCACCACCAACUUCAGGGAGUGAGGUCCUGGGAAAUGAAGGGACACUAUCCAUGUGCUUGGAUGUCUCUAACCUGGUUCCGUACUCUUUCCGCUAUGAUAUACUGCCUUCUAUAUAUAGACAAAAGUUCAAUUUUCUUUUUCACAAAUGAGAAGAGAAUAUGAUUGAGUUUUAGUAAAACUGAUAUCCAGUAAUACUGUAAUGUAUUUAGAUCAAGUUAGCACCUAAAUAGCAAACCUGCUUGCUCUAUUAAGCUAGUGAUUUUUCAUCAUAGGUGGUAACAGCCUUUACGUAGCAUCCAUUCUCUAAAAUUGUUGCCAUUGGUCUAGCAGAGGAGCAGUACACUAAUGUGGGUGCCGAUAUUACAGAAACCAGAAUACGUGGGUGAUGACUGCUCCACUCACCAUCUUCUCGUCUCUCUGGGGAUCUCAUUGUGGAGUAAGGGGCAUAAUGUUAGUAUCCCUUUCAGAGAUCAAAGGGGCAAGUCAGCAUCAGCUGAAAGUUGAAUCACCUCAUUAAAGAAUUUUGUAUCUCCUUCAGGGGGUUGAUUUGGAAAGGAAAACAGACAUAAGAUUUGAAUGUAUCAGUGUGGCUACUUGUGAACAUACUGCAUUUAACUAAUUGAUAGAAAUUUGAAUAAAAUAUUUCAGAAGAGGUUUUUCUUGUCUGUGUGUGUUUUUAAAAAUAAUUUUGUAAUGCACUUCUUCCAUGCAUAUCUUAUCUACUCUUCAGGGAAUACAGAAGCAGAUUUACAAAUGAAGAGACAGUGUCAUUCUGCUUGAGGGUAAUGGUGGGUGUCAUAAUACUCUAUGACCACGUACAUCCAGUGGGAGCAUUUGCUAAAACUUCCAAAAUUGAUAUGAAAGGUUGUAUCAAAGUUCUUAAGGACCAACCUCCUAAUAGUGUAGAAGGUCUUCUAAAUGCUCUCAGGUACACAACAAAACAUUUGAAUGAUGAGACUACCUCCAAGCAAAUUAAAUCCAUGCUGCAAUAACAAUUCUGGAAUAAGCACCUGCUGUAGACAGAAGACAGUAUUCUGCAAUGACUGAGAAUGCAGUUUUUUAGUGAUUGCAAUUACUAUCUCAUUUAUUCUUGCUUUUAUUUCUUUCCUCUGUUCCUCUUCCCUCUUUUUUAAUCAUGUUCUUGUUCUUAAGACUUCUUUUCUGUGCCAAAAUCAGUAAAGUUACACUCUGAAGGGAUAUCAUCCUUUCAAAUGGGCCAUCUAAGGCAGCUAAUUAUGCAUUGCAUUGGGGUCUCUACUGAGAAAAAUUCUGUGACUUGAACUAAAUAUUUUUAAAUGUGGAUUUUUUUUGAAACUAAUAUUUAAUAUUGCUUCUCCUGCAUGGCAAAACUGCCUAUUCUGCUAUUUAAAAACCCUCAAUGACUUUAUUUUCUACUGCCGCCUUUUUCAUGUGCAACCAAAAUGAAAAUGUUUAAAUUAACUGUGUUGUACAAAUGGUACCCAACACAAACUUUUUUUAAAUUAGUAAUACUUUUGUUUAAAGUUUUAAGUUUGCAUUUUGACUUUUUUUGUAAGGAUGUAUGUUUUGUGUUUAACCUUUAUUAACGUUAAAAACUGUGAUGUGUGCGUAGAAUAUUACGUAUGCAUGUUCAUGUCUAAAGAAUGGCUGUUGAUGAUAAAAUAAAAAUCAGCUUUCAUUUUUCUAA
rnacentral:sRNA from 1 species